rnacentral:tRNA from 1 species
GCCGUGGUGGUUCAGUGGUAGAAUUCUCGCCUUCCAUGCAGGAGACCUGGGUUUGAUUCCUGGCCAAUGCA